CCUACGGGUGUCAGCAGUGAGGAAUAUUGGUCAAUGGGCGUAAGCCUGAACCAGCCAAGUCGCGUGAGGGAUGAAGGUUCUAUGGAUCGUAAACCUCUUUUAUCAGGGAAUAAAGUGUGGGACGUGUCCUAUUUUGUAUGUACCUUAUGAAUAAGGAUCGGCUAACUCCGUGCCAGCAGCCCCGGUAAUACGGAGGAUCCGAGCGUUAUCCGGAUUUAUUGGGUUUAAAGGGUGCGUAGGCGGCUUUUUAAGUCAGCGGUGAAAGGUUGUGGCUCAAACCUAGAAUUGCCGUUGAAACUGGGGGGCUUGAGUAUGUUUGAGGCAGGCGGAAUGCGUGGUGUAGCGGUGAAAUGCUUAGAUAUCACGCAGAACCCCGAUUGCGAAGGCAGCCUGCCAAGCCAUGACUGACGCUGAUGCACGAAAGCGUGGGGAUCAAACAGGAUUAGAUACCCUAGUAGUC
rnacentral:rRNA from 1 species